CCAAAACUCAAUUCCUAUAUUGUCGCAACAAUCCUCUCCGUCAGAUUCUUCUGAAAACCCUAAUUUUUCAUUUGAUUUUUCUUUCUAAUCAGCUUUCCAUUCCUCUCCUCUCCACCACCUUUCAAAUUCAACAACAUAUUUGUAGCUAGAUGCAAUCGUCACGUUAAAUAAGCAAAGGUUUCGACACAAAAUUGUUUUCUCAGUUGUUUGACUUUUCAGAAAAGACAAGCUUUUGAGCUUAUUCAUGCAGUACAAAUGGAAAUGCACUUCAAGUUUACAUGUCAAUAUCCUGACACUGAAAUGUGGAAAUAUAGUAUAACGUAAGUCAAGUUAUCAAGUAAAAUUCACAAGGGACUGGGGCAUCGCAAACCAAGUUCCCAGCAUUCGAAAUCCUGCGAGGGAAGAGAAGUAGAAAGUGUUCAAAUGGAUGGAGAGUCAUUUGAUCAUAGUAUACAAGAUAAACAAG
rnacentral:sRNA from 1 species